AGCGAACGCUGGCGGCAGGCCUAACACAUGCAAGUCGAACGAACUCUUUGGAGUUAGUGGCGGACGGGUGAGUAACACGUGGGAACGUGCCUUUAGGUUCGGAAUAACUCAGGGAAACUUGUGCUAAUACCGAAUGUGCCCUUCGGGGGAAAGAUUUAUCGCCUUUAGAGCGGCCCGCGUCUGAUUAGCUAGUUGGUGAGGUAAAGGCUCACCAAGGCGACGAUCAGUAGCUGGUCUGAGAGGAUGAUCAGCCACAUUGGGACUGAGACACGGCCCAAACUCCUACGGGAGGCAGCAGUGGGGAAUCUUGCGCAAUGGGCGAAAGCCUGACGCAGCCAUGCCGCGUGAAUGAUGAAGGUCUUAGGAUUGUAAAAUUCUUUCACCGGGGACGAUAAUGACGGUACCCGGAGAAGAAGCCCCGGCUAACUUCGUG
rnacentral:rRNA from 1 species